rnacentral:tRNA from 12 species
GCUGGUAUAGCUCAGUUGGUAGAGCGGCUCAUUCGUAAUGAGUAGGUCGUAGGUUCGAAUCCUAUUAUCAGCUCCA